GGUUGAGUAGUGUAAUGGUUAUCACCGUGGAUUCUGAUUCCACUGAUCUGGGUUCGAUUCCCAGCUCGACCU